UUAAAAAUAGUAUAAUAAAUAUAAUAAUUUUACAAAUUAUAGAUCCUUUUAGGUUUUUAAU
rnacentral:tRNA from 1 species